AAGCUGUGCACGUCUAGACAGGACUGCCGUGGACGAACACGGAGGAAGGUGGGGAGUGACGUCAAGUCAUCAUGGCCCUUACUGUCCAGGGUCGGACACACGUGCUACAAUGGCCGGCACAACGGGAAGCGAGUUCGCGAGGACGAGCGGAAUCCCUCAAAGCCGGUCGCAGUUCGGAUUGAAGUCUGCAACUCGACUUCAUGAAGCUGGAAUCGCUAGUAAUCGUGGAUCAGCCAAGCCGCGGUGAAUACGUUCCCGGGCCUU
rnacentral:rRNA from 1 species